rnacentral:rRNA from 1 species
UACGUAGGGAGCAAGCGUUGUCCGGAAUCAUUGGGCGUAAAGCGCGCGUAGGUGGCCCCGUAAGUCCGCUGUGAAAGCCCUGGGCUCAACCUGGGAAUUGCAGUGGAUACUGGCAAGCUAGAGUGCGGUAGAGGAUGGUGGAAUUCCCGGUGUAGCGGUGAAAUGCGUAGAUAUCGAGAGGAACACCGGUGGCGAAGGCGGCCUUCUGGACAAAAAACUGACGCUGAGACGCGAAAAGCGUGGGGAGCAAACAGG